rnacentral:rRNA from 1 species
UGGGGAAUUUUGGACAAUGGGCGAAAGCCUGAUCCAGCAAUGCCGCGUGUGUGAAGAAGGCCUUCGGGUUGUAAAGCACUUUUGUCCGGAAAGAAAUCCUUGGCUCUAAUACAGUCGGGGGAUGACGGUACCGGAAGAAUAAGCACCGGCUAACUACGUGCCAGCAGCCGCGGUAAUACNUAGGGUGCAAGCGUUAAUCGGAAUUACUGGGCGUAAAGCGUGCGCAGGCGGUUUGCUAAGACCGAUGUGAAAUCCCCGGGCUCAACCUGGGAACUGCAUUGGUGACUGGCAGGCUAGAGUAUGGCAGAGGGGGGUAGAAUUCCACGUGUAGCAGUGAAAUGCGUAGAGAUGUGGAGGAAUACCGAUGGCGAAGGCAGCCCCCUGGGCCAAUACUGACGCUCAUGCACGAAAGCGUGGGGAGCAAACAAGAUUAGAUACCCUGGUAGUCCACGCCCUAAAACGAUGUCAACUAGUUGUUGGGGAUUCAUUUCCUUAGUAACGUAGCUAACGCGUGAAGUUGACCGCCUGGGGAGUACGGUCGCAAGAUUAAAACUCAAA